rnacentral:lncRNA from 1 species
CCAGUCUGGUUUAGUCCCGCUUAAUAGAUUGAGGGCAGCUUCCCUUCUCCCUGGCCCACCAGCAGCAGAGCCUUUUCAGAUGCCAGUAGCGGAAGUUGCUCCCAUGCAAAGCAAGCCACUUGUACUGUACUUGCUGCCAUCCAGGGCUGACUUAAGUCCCUUUGGGUUUCUGGGAGAGCUGCAUCCCGCAGUGUGAGCAGGCUGGCCCAGGAGCAGCUGAUGAGAAAAGCAAGCCGAGCAGAGCUAGAUGCCAGCACCUCGUCUGACUCCAGCACAACAAGCAGCCUGUAAGGCUUCCAAAAGUUCAUCGUGGCCUGAAGGACCUGGGCAGUUCUGAUGCCACCAUUGGCUCCUUCAGGAUCCCUCUAGAGAAUCAAAGAGCAC